UGGGGUGGGCAUUUUUACAGUGCCCAGACCCUGACAUUGAGGAACUAGAGGUCCACUUCCGCGAGUUCAAGCGUUGUAGCUUUCGUUUGGUGAGUGUAAGAAAAGCAGCUCAUAAAGCAAUUCCCCGUGUCCUGAGAAAUAAGUAUGGGGGCGUCUGAGUUGACAUGGGGAGGGAUUCCUCUGAUCCUUCCGUCCACUUUGGCUAUGCGAUAUCUCAAAUACGAACGAGAUAUUAUCCCGGAAAGAUGCAUCGAACCAGGAGCCAGGUAUCGAGUCAGAAAAUGCAUGGAUGAGAACGUCAGGGGUUAUCGAAGACUGAAGGCCAGUUUGCAAAACAAGAUCGCGGUCAUUGAGAAUGAGCGCCAACACGCCCAUACUAUCGAAACGGAGAGCUUGUCCUCUAUGGUGGCUAAUAUGACGCACUUCACCAUGAAUGACUAUCCAAGACCCGCAGAUCGGCCUUAUGAUCACACGCAGGUGUGCUUCCGGCCUUAUUACGACACCGUUUGACCCAGGCACAAACGAAGGAUCUUUAUUGGCAACACUGAACCAAGAGCUGAGGAAUUCAUGGGUUAUUUCGAUGUCCGUCGGAAGUUCGUUACCAAUCCCAGUGAGAAAUUGAAGUCCGUGGAGUGACCUCUGGGCGCAUGAUAUUGGAUAUCUGAAUAAAUAGAAAUGUGUGGAAA